rnacentral:rRNA from 1 species
CCUACGGGUGGCAGCAGUGAGGAAUAUUGGUCAAUGGGCUUACGCCUGAACCAGCCAAGUCGCGUGAGGGAAGACUGCCCUAUGGGUUGUAAACCUCUUUUGUCAGGGAGCAACGCCGGCUACGUGUAGCCGGACUGAGAGUACCUGAAGAAAAAGCAUCGGCUAACUCCGUGCCAGCAGCCGCGGUAAUACGGAGGAUGCGAGCGUUAUCCGGAUUUAUUGGGUUUAAAGGGUGCGUAGGCGGAAUGCCAAGUCAGCGGUAAAAUCGCGGGGCUCAACCUCGCUCCGCCGUUGAAACUGGCGUUCUUGAGUGGGCGAGAAGUAUGCGGAAUGCGUGGUGUAGCGGUGAAAUGCUUAGAUAUCACGAAGAACCCCGAUUGCGAAGGCAGCCUGCCGCAGCGUUACUGACGCUGAAGCUCGAAAGCGCGGGUAUCGAACAGGAUUAGAUACCCGAGUAGUC